rnacentral:rRNA from 1 species
AUGCUUCUUCGCAGUCGAGUGGCACUUUGUAGACCGUGUGGCAAGACAAUUUGGAAGAGACAAGGUAUUCCAAUUGAGGAGAGCAAGGAGAAAAUGCUAUCUCUGCAUCGGUUCGAUCAAAGGAACAAUCAGGAUAUAUCGGAUUGGGCAAACAAACACCGUGCGUGGAUAGAAAUUUGGAAUCAAAGAGACACGUUAGUGCAAUCAGAGAAUAGACCUCACAAUCAGUCAGCAUAUCAGAAGUAUCAAGUGUGGUAUGCGGAUCAUUACCGGUUGAAGCUGAAGCCUGGUUGGACUCAUGAGGAGUGGUCGGAGUUGGUGUCUGAAGACCCGGAGAUUGCACAAGGUUAUCAAACCUUCAACACGGCUGUGAGAGACACCAGAGGGGCUCACGUUGACUAUGCACCGAUGCAUGAUGAAAUGGGCAGAGAGUUGCUUCUGUGCGUCAACGAUGCCAAUGUUGCACCGAGUCAUCCACCUGGUGGUGCAUUAUCUGAGAGGACUCUUAGGAGCACGAUGGAGAAGUUCAAGAAGCGGUUCUAUAAGAUGGCAGUUAUGCUUUCUUGCCAUGGUGCUCAGUCCAGUGACGUGUAUGCACCUGGUAGCCGCGCCGCCAGAGCUAAUAAACGGCAUUAUGUCCAGAAUGAAGAGGACAUAGAGGAGGAGGUCAAUGAAGAGGAGCCAGCACAUCAAGAGGAGCCAACACAUCAUGAUGAGCAUGAGUAUGAUGCAACACAUCAAGAGGAUCAUGAGUAUGAUGUUGAUGCUCCACAACCAUCACAGGUUACACAACUGACACAAGGCAAUGCCCGCUCUAAAAAAAGGCAAAGCAAUAGCUAA